UAGGUAAAAAAUUAAAGUUUCGGCGGUUAAAGAUGGGCAUGCGUGACAUUAGUUAGUUGGUGAGGUAACGGCUCACCAAGACAGCGAUGUCUAGGGGUUCUGAGAGGAUUAUCCCCCACACUGGUACUGAGACACGGACCAGACUCCUACGGGAGGCAGCAGUGAGGAAUAUUGGUCAAUGGUCGAAAGACUGAACCAGCCAUGCCGCGUGCAGGAUGAAGGCGCUAUGCGUUGUAAACUGCUUUUCUACAGGAAGAAACCUAUCCUCGUGAGGGUAGCUGCCGGUACUGUAGGAAUAAGCACCGGCUAACUCCGUG
rnacentral:rRNA from 1 species